UGCUAAGUCGGAUGAAAGCGCAGGCAAAUCGGCAAUAUUUCCUCUUGAAUGCUAAAUAUCACGCAGAAUAUUUACUUGAGUUAAUACUUAUGAAAACAAUCGGACACGAAGUAAAGAAGAGGGGCCAAUUUCAAGAAAGAGAACAUCUCGCAUCGGGCCAAAAAUAGAUGGGACCACACACCGUCUUGAUUGAGUUUCAUUCUUUUCUGGGUCACAAACCAAGAUGGCGGCGAGAGGCGCCAUUAAGGGCUUGUUUGUUGCCAUCAGCUUUACCCUGCAAAAGAAUGGAUACGACAAUGUAUGAAACGAUGUCUUAGAGGACCACAUACAAGGUAUUUUCCAACAGAGAAUGUAACACUCUGAUCCGUUCACUCAGAAAACGACCAUACAUUUUCAUCUUCGCUCCGCCUCGGUAGAGUAACUGACACCGGUUAAAAGGUAAAUAUGCAGGUUGAUUGGGCGCCUGUGCCGGUGGGCUGCUCCUGACGUAUGCGUUCGACACGAGGUUGCCUAGCAACGCUCCCCGUGGUUGAAGACCACCCAGGCUGCCUCGAACCUCCACGUUGAGAUAUAAACAAGGUUUGCUGUGUACGGAGCGCCUUUAAUUGCUUCAUUUAGGAGAGUUUGUCAUGGCCAAAGGAUUUCAUAGUUGAUAUGAGUUUUUGCUUUAGACAUUUGCGACUUUGUAAAUGUUGCUUUUGGGGUUAACUAUUUUCUUGAGAAAAUUAUCCCUCUAAAAUAUAAACAUCCAACAAUCGGUACUCUUGUCAUCACAUUUGUCCACACUUUUGUCGAGUGUUAUUUUUUUCUUACAUUCAUAGAUCAACAUGAAUGCGUUUUAAAUAUAACCCUUUUUAAUACAUUUGAAACUUCAGGGACAAGCCCAACACUAAACCCACAUGUUUUUUUUAACCAUUUAUGUCCCUUUUUAUACACAAUUAAUUAAUGUGAUUAACAUAUUUCCUUUUUAUUAUUUACAAUUUGAAUUCAUUUAUUAAAGAAUACGUUACUGGACAGUGUUGACGGAAUUCUUUUCGAAUACACAUGUGUGU